GUACACUCCUACGGGAGGCAGCAGUAGGGAAUCUUCCACAAUGGGUGCAAACCUGAUGGAGCAAUGCCGCGUGAGUGAAGAAGGUCUUCGGAUCGUAAAGCUCUGUUGUUAGAGAAGAACACGUGCUAGGUAACUACUAGCGCCUUGACGGUAUCUAACCAGAAAGUCACGGCUAACUACGUGCCAGCAGCCGCGGUAAUACGUAGGUGACAAGCGUUGUCCGGAUUUAUUGGGCGUAAAGGGAGCGCAGGCGGUCUGUUUAGUCUAAUGUGAAAGCCCACGGCUUAACCGUGGAACGGCAUUGGAAACUGACAGACUUGAAUGUAGAAGAGGAAAAUGGAAUUCCAAGUGUAGCGGUGGAAUGCGUAGAUAUUUGGAGGAACACCAGUGGCGAAGGCGAUUUUCUGGUCUAACAUUGACGCUGAGGCUCGAAAGCGUGGGGAGCGAACAGGAUUAGAAACCCCAGUAGUCCC
rnacentral:rRNA from 1 species